rnacentral:lncRNA from 1 species
GUGGUGGGAACAAAGACGGUUUUGCCGAGAUGUCCUGCUGAGUUAUUCACACCACCCUCUCACUUGAGUAUCUUACCUAGUUAUUUACAGAUUCUCAUUUUGAUCUUUUUUUAGCUUUGUCAACCAUGUGUGUUUUCUAUACCUGUUCGCACCUCUACCUGUAGGCUUUACAGAUGCGCCCCACCCCUUGGCUGCAACCCUUCUAAUUUAGUGUACCCUGCGCGCACAACCCAUGUGGAAUUCCGGGUCUCUGGCAACGUUUGGAACUGCCGAUCUGCGUUGAAGAACGCUGAGUUCAUCUCAGCCUAUGCUUCCCUUCAGUCCUUUUACUUUUUGUCCCUGAUGGAGACAUGGAUCACCCCAGAGAACACUGCUACUACAGCUGCUCUUUCUUUAUCUGUUUUCUCUCACAGUCCGAUAGUGCCCUUGGAGAGUUCUUCAAUGAGCUUGACACCUUGAUAAGCUCAUUUCCUGACGAUGGCUCACCGCUCUUCGUACUUGGAAACUUCAACCUUCCGACGUCUGCCUUCGAUUAAUUUCUUUCUAACUUUCGCCUCCUUGCCUCUUUUGACCUAACCCUUUCCCAAUCCCCUCCAACUCACAAGGCAGGCAAUAUGCUUGACCUCAUCUUUACUAGAGACUGCUCGCCUACUAAUCUCACUGCAACCCCCCUCCAGGUCUCUGAUCACUACUUUGUUUCCUUUUCUGUCUCCCUUUCCUCCAACCCUAACCACUCAGCCCCUACCCAGAUGCUCAUGCACUGUCACAAUCUUUGCUCUCUCUCUCUCCCACUACUCUCUCCUCUUCUAUCCUAUCAUCUCUCCCUUCUGCUAAAUCCUUCUCCCUUCUGUCUCCUGCCUCUUCGACCCUAACUCUCUUCCCUUUAGGCAUCCUAUGACUCGCACUGUCCCCUUUCGUCCCAGCCGGCUCGGCCCUCCCCCCUGCUCCGUGGCUGAGUGACUCAUUACGAGCUUACAGAACAGGGCUGCGAGCAGCUGAGCAAAAAAUGGAGAACUGUCACGACUUCCGCCGAAGUUGGUGCCUCCUUGUUCGGGCGGUGUUCGGCGUCCAUUUGUUAUGUCUUGAUUGCUCACACCUGGUUCCCAUUUUGUUAUGAUUACUUCCCUAUUUAAACCCUCUGAUAUUCAUUAUGUUUUGUGCGUUAUUGUUUUACUGUUGGUCGUGUUCGUUGUAUGUAUAGUUAUU